UACAGAGGUCUCAAGCGUUGUUCGGAUUUAUUGGGCGUAAAGCGCACGUAGGCGGCUUGGUAUGUCGGGUGUGAAAUCCCCGGGCUCAACCUGGGAACUGCAUCCGAAACUGCCUUGCUAGAGUAUGGGAGAGGGAAGUGGAAUUUCCGGUGUAGCGGUGAAAUGCGUAGAUAUCGGAAGGAACAUCAGUGGCGAAGGCGACUUCCUGGACCAAUACUGACGCUCAGGUGCGAAAGCGUGGGGAGCAAACAGG
rnacentral:rRNA from 1 species